CAGUCCCAUCGCUUCUACACCCCAAUGCCCAUCCUGUGGGAUCCCCAAUUCCCCCCACUUCACCCACUUUGGGUCCCCUCCUCCUCCCCCCCACCCUCCUGCAGGCCCUGAAUUCCCCUGGCUCUCCUUGUCUCCAUCCCCACCCUGGGCCCUGCAGGAACAGGGAUCCCAGGGGAAACUGGGUGCAGUGGGGCUGGGGGAGCAGAAGGGAUUUUCCCCCUCAGACCGGGGCCAACCAUGGGCUGGGGGCUCUGGGGACACCCGUGUCCCUCCCCCAGCCCCACAGGGGCCAAUCCUGCUUAAACCUUUGCUCUCCUUCCCCAGCCAAUUGCAGGACAAGGAGGAGGUGGAUGUGUUGGGGGAGGCAUGGAUGUCCAUCGAGUGAAGAGGUCUGAGCCCCCUGUGGCUGACCAGGUGGAGAUGCUGCGCGAGUGACGCUCGGCUGCCUCUCUGCAUGUCCAGG